GACGAACGCUGGCGGCGUGCUUAACACAUGCAAGUCGAACGGAAAGGCCCUGCUUUUGUGGGGUGCUCGAGUGGCGAACGGGUGAGUAACACGGGAGUAACCUGCCCUUGACUUUGGGAUAACUUCAGGAAACUGGGGCUAAUACCGGAUAGGAGCUCCUGCUGCAUGGUGGGGGUUGGAAAGUUUCGGCGGUUGGGGAUGGACUCGCGGCUUAUCAGCUUGUUGGUGGGGUAGUGGCUUACCAAGGCUUUGACGGGUAGCCGGCCUGAGAGGGUGGCCGGCCACAUUGGGACUGCGAUACGGCACAGUGUCGUACGGGAGGCAGCAGUGGGGAAUAUUGCACAAUGGGCGGAAGCCUGAUGCAGCAACGCCGCGUGCGGGAUGACGGCCUUGGGGUUGUAAACCGCUUUCGCCUGUGACGAAGCGUGAGUGACGGUAAUGGGUAAAGAAGCACCGGCUAACUACGUG
rnacentral:rRNA from 1 species